AGGCCUUGGAGCUUGAGAACUCCAGUUGCCCAAGGCGCACAGGUGGUGGGUAAGGACGCUGAUGAUUUCUCCAAAGAAUCCUUCCCUGACCCAGGAGGAUCCGGUGGGAGAGCGGAGCCGUCCACAGCUCAGCCAGGACACAAGAAGGCCCAGGGUGGCAGGAGCCCCACUGUGUGCUGUGGCGGAUGGCAGAGGAAAAGUCAGCAUUGUCCCUCAACUGCAGGAUCAUGUGAUGUGAUGGGGAAAAAUUCUGAGUACAAGACACAGGAAGCGCAGUGAAAGCAUAUUGACUUUCCUGACUUCUUAUGGCCACAUUUAAGGAAAGGAGUAAGCACUGGAAUCACCAAAACAGCAGUCACCAGCUUCAUCAGCCUCCCAAUUCCACGGAGCCCCUUGAAAAUCCAGGGGCGCAGACUGGCAACAGUAGAGAUUUAAUAGAUACAGGGUCUCGCUCUGUUGCCCAGGCUGGAGUAUAGCAG